rnacentral:tRNA from 1 species
GCCGGGAUGGUGGAAUGGCAGACACGAAGGUCUCAAAAACCUUUGGGGCUUUAAACCCCAUGUGGGUUCGACUCCCUCUCCCGGCA